GACGAACGCUGGCGGCGUGCUUAACACAUGCAAGUCGAACGAGGAGCGAUGGAAGCUUGCUUCUAUCAAUCUUAGUGGCGAACGGGUGAGUAACGCGUAAUCAACCUGCCCUUCAGAGGGGGACAACAGUUGGAAACGACUGCUAAUACCGCAUACGAUCUAACCUCGGCAUCGAGGAUGGAUGAAAGGUGGCCUCUAUUUAUAAGCUAUCACUGAAGGAGGGGAUUGCGUCUGAUUAGCUAGUUGGAGGGGUAACGGCCCACCAAGGCGAUGAUCAGUAGCCGGUCUGAGAGGAUGAACGGCCACAUUGGGACUGAGACACGGCCCAGACUCCUACGGGAGGCAGCAGUGGGGAAUCUUCCGCAAUGGACGAAAGUCUGACGGAGCAACGCCGCGUGAGUGAUGACGGCCGUCGGGUUGUAAAGCUCUGUUAAUCGGGACGAAAGGCCUUCUUGCGAAUAGUUAGAAGGAUUGACGGUACCGGAAGAGAAAGCCACGGCUAACUACGUG
rnacentral:rRNA from 1 species